rnacentral:lncRNA from 1 species
GCACUAUUACUACGCAGAGAACAAGUAUUUUCACAAGAGAGUGAUUUAUUUUACUACUUUUAAUUUGCAUUAUUUAAAGAUUAAUUUACUAAUGAUCGAUUGGAUGGAUAGGUUAACGGUUAACACAAUAUAAGACAAAUUCCAGGGUUAUGGUGCCUCUAUGUACUAACUAACGUUGUGUCUACAUCUUUGUUAUUAUGCUAGUGAAAAGUGACAGGCAGGGGCGGAGCUAUCCUUGUUCGGGGGGUCAAGAGACAUUCCUUCGUCAGAAAAUUACAUUGUAUAGAUAGAUCAAAUAUAUUAAUGUUGACACCUCUUGACAUAGGGUGUCAAGCGACAUUCCUUCGUCAGAAAAUUACAUUGUAUAGAUAGAUCAAAUAUAUUAAUGUUGACACCUCUCGACAUAAGGUAAACAGUUCAGCUCAGUGUUUAAGGGGCUGCAAAAGCUCUCGAUGGUUGAGUGUUUGAUACUGGCUCAAGUUUUUAUAGGAGUUUUUUCUUUCAUAUGUUAAAUGACACAUGUACAACUAAUCUCAAUUAAAAUUUAAAGCACUCAACUUUAAGCAGAGUAUUGAAACCAUUUUUGUUUAA